rnacentral:rRNA from 1 species
GACGAACGCUGGCGGCGUGCCUAAUACAUGCAAGUUGAGCGCUGAAGGUUGGUACUUGUACCAACUGGAUGAGCAGCGAACGGGUGAGUAACGCGUGGGGAAUCUGCCUUUGAGCGGGGGACAACAUUUGGAAACGAAUGCUAAUACUGCAUAAAAACUUUAAACACAAGUUUUAAGUUUGAAAGAUGCAAUUGCAUCACUCAAAGAUGAUCCCGCGUUGUAUUAGCUAGUUGGUGAGGUAAAGGCUCACCAAGGCGAUGAUACAUAGCCGACCUGAGAGGGUGAUCGGCCACAUUGGGACUGAGACACGGCCCAAACGCCUACGGGAGGCAGCAGUAGGGAAUCUUCGGCAAUGGACGAAAGUCUGACCGAGCAACGCCGCGUGAGUGAAGAAGGUUGUCGGAUCGUAAAACUCUGUUGGUAGAGAAGAACGUUGGUGAGAGUGGAAAGCUCAUCAAGUGACGGUAACUACACAGAAAGGGACGGCUAACUACGUG